rnacentral:rRNA from 1 species
AUUGAACGCUGGCGGCAGGCCUAACACAUGCAAGUCGAGCGAGCGGCGGACGGGUGAGUAAUGUAUGGGGACUGCCCGAUAGAGGGGGAUUACUACUGGAAACGGGGGCUAAUACCGCAUACUGUCGUAUAACCCAUAUGGGAUUAGCUAGUAGGUAAGCUAAUGGCUUACCUGGGCGACGAUCCCUAGCUGGUCUGAGAGGCUGAUCAGCCACACUGGGACUGAGACACGGCCCAGACUCCUACGGAGGCAGCAGUGGGGAAUAUUGCACAAUGGGCGCAAGCCUGAUGCAGCCAUGCCGCGUGUAUGAAGAAGGCCCUAGGGUUGUAAAGUACUUUCAGUCGGGAGGCGUUACCGACAGAAGAAGCACCGGCUAACUCCGUGCCAGCAGCCGCGGUAAUAC